rnacentral:rRNA from 1 species
AGAGUUUGAUCCUGGCUCAGAACGAACGCUGGCGGCGUGGAUAAGACAUGCAAGUCGAGCGCUAAUUUCAGGGUAGCAAUAUUCUGGAGUUGGAGCGGCGCAAGGGUGCGUAACACGUGGGUAAUCUGCCAUGAAGUUCGGGAUAACUUGCUGAAAGGCGAGCUAAUACCGGAUGUGACAACCGAGAGGCAUCUUUUGGUUGUUAAAGUUGGGGACCGUAAGGCCUGACGCUUCUUGAUGAACCCGCGGCCUAUCAGCUAGUUGGUGAGGUAACGGCUCACCAAGGCUAAGACGGGUAGCUGGUCUGAGAGGACGACCAGCCACACUGGAACUGAGACACGGUCCAGACACCUACGGGUGGCAGCAGUCGAGAAUUUUUCACAAUGGGCGAAAGCCUGAUGGAGCGACGCCGCGUGGGGGAUGAAUGGCUUCGGCCCGUAAACCCCUGUCAUUCGCGAUCAAACCCUUAUCAUUUAAAAGAUGAUGAGCUGAUAGUAGCGGAAGAGGAAGGGACGGCUAACUCUGUGCCCAGCAGCCGCGGUAAUACAGAGGUCCCAAGCGUUGUUCGGGAUUCACUGGGCGUAAAGGGUGCGUAGGUGGUGAGGUAAGUCGGAUGUGAAAGCUCGGAGCUCAACUCCGAAAUGGCAUUGGAAACUACCUUGCUCGAGGGUUGGAGGGGGGACUGGAAUACUUGGUGUAGCAGUGAAAUGCGUAGAUAUCAAGUGGAACACCAGUGGCGAAGGCGAGUCCCUGGACAACUCCUGACACUGAGGCACGAAAGCUAGGGGAGCAAACAGGAUUAGAUACCCUAGUAGUCC